AUGAUGGGCUACACAUCUGGGCUGCUGUUUUACAUCAUCUGCUUUACAGGUGUUCAUUGUCAGACUCUUACCGAAUCUGAAUCAGUUGUUAAAAGACCAGGAGAGUCUCACCAGCUGACCUGUAGAGCCUCUGGAUUCACAUUCAGCAACCACUGGAUGGCCUGGAUCAGACAGGCUCCUGGGAAGGGACUGAAAUGGAUUUCUUAUAUCAAUAAUGGUGGUAGUGGGGCAUGGUACCCUGAUUCAGUCCGAGGUCGGUUUACCAUCUCCAGAGACAACAGCAAACAGCAGCUGUAUUUGCAGAUGAACAGCCUGAGAACAGAAGAUUCAGCUGUUUAUUAUUGUGCGCGAGAGACACUGUUGCUUCUGUUAUUUGCUUUGCAUUCUUUUGUUUAUGGUAUAUGGUCACAGGGCUAA